AUGUACCAGGCGUACACUGCGGUUGUGAGCGCGCCGUCCACACUCGGCUGACGACGGCUCGCUGCGUCCUGUUAGCC
rnacentral:sRNA from 1 species